UGGGGAAUAUUGCACAAUGGAGGGAACUCUGAUGCAGCGACGCCGCGCGAACGAAGAAGGCUUUCGAGUCGUAAAGUUCUUUUAUAUGGGAAGAUAAUGACGGUACCAUAAGAAAAAGCCCCGGCUAACUACGUGCCAGCAGCCGCGGUAAUACGUAGGGGGCUAGCGUUGUUCGGAAUCACUGGGCGUAAAGGGUUCGCAGGCGGAAAUGCAAGUCAGGUGUAAAAGGCAGUAGCUUAACUACUGUAAGCAUUUGAAACUGCAUAUCUUGAGAAGAGUAGAGGUAAGUGGAAUUUUUAGUGUAGCGGUGAAAUGCGUAUAUAUUAAAAAGAAUACCGGUGGCGAAGGCGACUUACUGGGCUCAUUCUGACGCAGAGGAACGAAAGAGUGGGUAGCAAACAGG
rnacentral:rRNA from 1 species